ensembl:ncRNA C34H3.22 ncRNA
GGGGGGGGCGGGGGGUCAUGAGGGAACAUUAAGGUUCAGGACACAUUAACAAAGUAGAAAAGAACUGGGAACAAGCACGGGAAAUGAGAGUCUAUUAAUCUUUGUUAGAACUGAGAUCUCAAUACUUGUGAGGUGGCCUGAGAAAAU